CAGGAUGACGAUAGCUUGCUAUUGUUGAUGGCGACCGGCGCACGGGUGAGUAACGCGUGUCCAACCUGCCCUUGUCCAUCGGAUAACCCGUCGAAAGGCGGCCUAACACGAUAUGCAGUUCUCAGCAGGCAUCUAACGAGAACGAAAUGUGAAGGAGAAGGAUGGGGAUGCGUCUGAUUAGCUUGUUGGCGGGGUAACGGCCCACCAAGGCGACGAUCAGUAGGGGUUCUGAGGGGAAGGUCCCCCACAUUGGAACUGAGACACGGUCCAAACUCCUACGGGAGGCAGCAGUGAGGAAUAUCGGUCAAUGGACGGAAGUCUGAACCAGCCAAGUAGCGUGCAGGAAGACGGCCCUAUGGGUUGUAAACUGCUUUUAUACGGGGAUAAGGUGAGCCACGUGUGGCUUAUUGCAGGUACCGUAUGAAUAAGGACCGGCUAAUUCCGUGCCAGCAGCCGCGGUAAUACGGAAGGUCCGGGCGUUAUCCGGAUUUAUUGGGUUUAAAGGGAGCGUAGGCCGUUUGUUAAGCGUGUUGUGAAAUGUCGGGGCUCAACCUGGGCAUUGCAGCGCGAACUGGCAGACUUGAGUGCGCGGGAAGUAGGCGGAAUUCGUCGUGUAGCGGUGAAAUGCUUAGAUAUGACGAAGAACUCCGAUUGCGAAGGCAGCCUGCUGUAGCGUAACUGACGCUGAAGCUCG
rnacentral:rRNA from 1 species